rnacentral:lncRNA from 1 species
UUGUGCCAAGAAAGCUCUUAGUUUUGCCUUUGUGAACCUCCUGACAGAAUUCCCAGUUCUCGCAUGGUCGUAGCUGGCUCUGCAGAGACAAGCGCCAGAUGUACGAUCCGCCCGUGAGCGUGCCGAUACCAAUGUUCCCAUAGCGCCGCAAAGCGCUGUCAUGGAGACCACGCAGAUAUAUCCAUGGAUCUCGUCCUAUUACAAGAACAGGACGGCGAACAAACAUUCAUGAGGACCACGACCACGCUAUUUUAACACAAAAGGUGUACGUAACAGUUGUGCUUCGGUAACAACUUUUUUUA